rnacentral:tRNA from 1 species
GGGCUCGUAGCUCAGCGGCAGAGCGGCCGGCUCAUAACCGGUUGGUCGCAGGUUCGAAUCCUGCCGAGCCCA